rnacentral:lncRNA from 1 species
CAGAGGAUCACACUUUUCACUGUUUUCAUUCUUUGUCCUCUUCCCCAACAACAGGUGUCCAGCUACCAAUCAGCAUUGAACUGCUCUCCUUCUGGUAGCUGGUUCAGACUGUUGCAUCCAACCAGAAGCCUCUGCAACCUGGAUUGAAGCCAAAGGCAGACACCAGAAUCAGCAAAGUAUUUCGAAAGAUCUUCAGUUUCAGUGGUGUGAGGAAUGGCAAUAACAUAUUAGCUACAUCACAGGUGUGUCUUAAAGAAAAAGCUUUCAGUAUGAAGAUGUCUGGAUUCCAUCCUUCACAUAUGAUUGUUGCUAGGUGAUAAGAGACCCAGAAGUUCACAAGAGAGGAAAUCCAAGAAAUGAGCCAGCAAUAAAAUCAUCAGUUGUAUACUCA